rnacentral:misc_RNA from 1 species
AAGUCGUAACAAGGUCUCCGUUGGUGAACCAGCGGAGGGAUCAUUACAAGAGUGUAAAAACUCCCAACCCAUGUGAACCUUACCUCAGUUGCCUCGGCGGCCUACCCCCCCCGGGGGAGCCGCCAGGGGCCCCACCUAACGCUUUGUUUUUUGUGGAACUCUGAAUAACAAACUUAAUAGUUAAAACUUUCAACAACGGAUCUCUUGGUUCUG